AAGCGCUUGCAGCCAGACUCGCCUGCAGGUGAUCAGCCGCCCCUUGGGGCGGUGCACUCUCCUGCAGCCGGGCCAGCAUCAGUUCUGGCGGCUGGACAAAGGCCUUGGGAAUGUGACUCCCCUUUUACGGGGGAGUGUUAUAGCCUGGGGUGCAAUGCAGCCAGCUGGGACUGAGGAACGCGCAUUUUUUGCCAGGAUGCUGGCGUAAUGGCUGCCAGCGA
rnacentral:rRNA from 1 species